ACUCCUACGGGAGGCAGCAGUGGGGAAUUUUGGACAAUGGGCGCAAGCCUGAUCCAGCAAUGCCGCGUGCAGGAAGAAGGCCUUCGGGUUGUAAACUGCUUUUGUACGGAAAGAAACGGUCCUGGUUAAUACCCGGGGAUAAUGACGGUACCGUAAGAAUAAGCACCGGCUAACUACGUGCCAGCAGCCGCGGUAAUAC
rnacentral:rRNA from 1 species